rnacentral:lncRNA from 1 species
AUGAACCAGGACCCCCCAAGUGCCCCGUGUCCCCUGCACGCCCUGUCCCUCUGUGCCACCUGCCCGCGCCCCCUCCCCGGCACCGCGAGCCGCCCCAGCCGCCCUGUCCCCUCCCCGACCCCCAGUCCCACCCAGUCUCUCCCAGUCCUCCCAGUCUCCCUCCCCGUCGGGUGCCGGGGGCGCGGGCGCUUCCCGCUGUGCCGGAUCCCACCGGAAUUCCCGGCUGGGCCGGGGCAGCGGGACGGGCCGGGGGGCCCGGGGGGCAGGGAGCGGCCGCCCCCGUGGCCUCGUGCCCGGGCCGAUCCCGCUGCUCCCGGUGCUCCCGUACCUGCGAGGCCGGGGCCGGGGGACAGCAGCGGCCCCGGCGCAGUUCCAUGUCCAGCGCUGACCCCCGCGCCACCGUGGCGCGGCUGCGCUCGUCCCGCCGGAACAUGGGCGGGGGUCCCGGGGGUCCCGGGGGAUCCGGAGGGUCCGAGGUUUCUGGAGGGUCCCGGCACUCCCGGGGGUCUUGGGGGAUCCCGGGCUCCGGAGCCUUUCGAGGGGUCCGGGAAGUCUCGGGGGGCCCCAAUGCGCCGGAGCCUUGCGGGGGGGGGGAUGGGGGGGGAGUCCCGGUAUUCCCGGUGUCCCAGGUGGUGCCGGUCCUAUGGAGCUUUCCGGGAGAUCCCGGCGGAGUCCCGCGGGGUCCCCGCGCUCCGAGGGGUCCCGGGGUCUGAAGCUUUCGGGGCUUCCCGGCGGUCCCUGUGCUCCGGGAGCGGGGAGGAGGGUCAAGGGAGUCCCGGGCUCCGGCGCGUUCCCCGGAGCUCGCCCGGGCUCCGGCGCACCUGGGACAGAUGGGAGACACCGGGAUGCACGGGGGGGAGAUCCCGGGAUCGGCUCUCCCGGUCCAGCAGAGCUCCGGGAUCCCGCGGCGGGGCCGGGGCGGGGGGGCAGCGGCGGCGAUCGGUGCCGGCGGCUCCUGGCACGGGCGGGACAAUGGCCCGGGGCAGCGGCAGCUGCGGGCGGGGGGCGGGGGUGUCUCUGUGUGUGUGUCGGGGUGUGACAUCUCCGUGCGGGUGUGACAUCGCCGUGCGUGUGCGCCGGUGUCGCGGACACGGGAGGGCACGGAGCUGUCGCGCACGCGGGUGUGCCCACAGGGAAUCCCGGAAUCCCGGAGCGGUCGCGGUGGGAAGGACCCUCUGGAGACGUGCCGGUCCUACCCCCCGCCCAGGCGGUGCCACCUGCAGAGGUGACACACGGCCGGGUGACCUGUCCCGGGGCUUGGCCCCUCCGUGGGGAGCAGCUCUGCCUCGUGCUGAGCUGGGAUUUGUGUUUGGUUCGUGGCCAGACCUCCUGGGCACCAUCCUGACACCCCGGGGAGAGAUUUGUGGGGCUGGGUGGGGUUUUUGCGCGGAUUGGUGGGAUUCCCUGUGA